GAAAUGCGAUAAGUAAUGUGAAUUGCAGAAUUCAGUGAAUCAUCGAAUCUUUGAACGCACCUUGCGCUCCCUGGUAUUCCGGGGAGCAUGCCUGUUUGAGUGUCAUGAAACUCUCAACCUCCAACUUUCUUAAUAGUAGUUGGCGGCUUGGACUUGAGCGCUGCUGGUCAUCGGCUCGCUCGAAAUAUAUUAGCAGACCCUUUUUGUAAUCGGUUCCACUCAACGUGAUAAGUAUUUCGUUGAGGACAGUCUUUCGGGACUGGCCGAGAUAAGGAAGGUAUAGUGUCAGCUUCUAAUUCGUCGUCUAGCUUUCGAGCGAAACACACUUUUAUGAUCUGGCCUCAAAUCAGGUAGGACUACCCGCUGAACUUAA
rnacentral:misc_RNA from 1 species